rnacentral:rRNA from 1 species
UUAAGGUCUAACCUGCCCAAUGAGGAUUUAAAUGGCCGCAGUAUUUUGACUGUGCAAAGGUAGCAUAAUUAUUAGUUUUUUAAUUGUAAACUUGUAUGAAGGGUUGGACGAGAUAAAAUCUGUCUUUAUUUAAAUUAAGAUAAAAUUUAACUUUUAAGUCAAAAGGCUUAAAUAAUUGUAAAAGACGAGAAGACCCUAUAGAUCUUUAUUUAAUUAGGAUUUUAAUAAUUUAGGUUUAUUUAGAUUUAAAGUUUUAAUUAAAUUUUAUUGGGGUAAUAUAAAGAUUAAAUAAAUUCUUUUUAUUAAUUACAUUAAUUUAUGAAUAUAUGAUCCAAUAUUAUUGAUUAUAAGAUUAAGUUACCUUAGGGAUAACAGCGUAAUUUUUUUGGAGAGCUCAUAUCGAUAAAAAAGUUUGCGACCUCGAUGUUGGAUUAAAAAUUAGUUUGGGUGUAGAAGCUCAAAAUUUUGGUCUGUUCGACCAUUAAAUUUUUACAUGAUCUGAGUUCAGACCGGCGUAAGCCAGGUCGGUUUCUAUCUUUAUUUAAUGUAAAUAUUUUAGUACGAAAGGACCAAAUAUUUAAUAUAGUUAUAUUUAUUUUUUGAACAAUAUU